CUUUUAAAGAGUUUGACCAUCUUGUGGUCCGUUACCCGAGAAACCACGGGGUCCAACGUGCGAGAAACCACAUGCCUUGUUUCACACACUACACUGCUGGUGAGUAUGCAACAAUGGAUUAACAAAUAGUAAUAAAAAUAUGAUAACUCAAUGGGUGUACGGUCACCGCUGAUUAACUGUUGUAAUUACAUUAUAUCCCUAGCUUUUCAAGACCUCUUAUUCAGUACAUUGGCAUCUUUAGAAGGGAGGUUUUAUAUUAGUGACAUUAUUCUUAAAGGAAAACCCUACAUACAUUGUACCUAAAAUCAUAAAUUUCUAAUAGAGUCUAUGAUUACUAGAAGCAUAGGUAUUCCAACUAUUUGUAGACUCCCUAUGAGCCAUAAUAUAUUAAUGACCUUAAUCCCUUCUCCUUUUUUUGAAAAUGAUGAGCCUCUUUAGCUCCCUUAGGUAUAAAUAUACCCCUUAGAGUAUAUAUACAAGUGUAUAUAUAAAUAUGAUCAGUAUCCCUUUAUUGGUCAAAAAUCUUAUUACAGCUAAUGAUCAUUUAAUACUUCAUGUUAAUAUGAUUCCCUUUAUCUAAAUGUGCAUCAUUGUUCUUUAUAAAAAAAAUUCUCAUCAGGGAAUCUUUCCUUUCCCAUAUAUAUGAAUUGUAGAGGAUUGUAUAUAUGUUUUUAUAUUCAGCUUUUUUUAUAUAUUUGUUCCUUACGUAAAAGGUUUAGUGCACAUACUGGGACUUAAGACAUCUGUCUAUGGAAUGUGAUCAUCCACAUGGAUAUUUACAUAAAGUGAACAGCACGCACGUCGGACAUAGCAACCUACGUGUGCGCCAUGACGCUAAACAGACGCGACCCUCUGAUGCGAGCGUCACAACGUCAUUUGGGUGCGACCUGCGCAUACAAGCGGGCGCGCCAUAUUACAUAUAAAUAUGGGACUUAUACUGCUUUAUUCUGACAGGGCCAUCGAAGGGAUUUAUUCAUAUCCCGAGCGCGCAGCCCACACAGGAGCCCCUGCACCAGCCAGCACGCACAGGAGAUCCAGCUGACAAGAUCCACAUCCUGA